CCUGAGAAACCCAAAAGAUCGAAUGGGGAGAUUCAUCGUCAGCGAUCCUGGCGCGUGCGCGGUUCGUGAUGCCACAAGACUUCGGUUUUGAGGUACACGUCCGUGCGGGUUUUUUUGCCUGGUGUCGUCGGCGUGCACUUCUCCCCUAGUAGGACGUCGCGACCCGUUGGGUGUCGGUCUACGGCCCGGGUGGGUGCCUGUCAUGUGUACGACGCUUCACGGCGUCAUGUGGCUGACAGACCCCCGGUUGUCUGACCAGCUGCCCGGCGGUACUCGCACGGUAUCGGGCCGCAAAUUCGAACUGCGUCCGGCCCGCCGCAAGCGAGGCCAGUGCUUCCCGGAUGUACGGACCUAGUGCCGUCACCGGGCCUGGCCAGCUGUUGGUUGGCGGUGUCCUAGGACUGGCUCUAAUGAUACCGGUCGGCGACGCUACUGCUUUGGGUACUUUCAGGACCCGUCUUGAAACACGGACCAAGGAGUCUAACAUGUGCGCGAGUCAUUGGGACUUAUUAAGCCUAAAGGCGCAAUGAAAGUGAAGGUCGGCCUCGCGCCGACCGAGGGAGGAUGGACCGCGUCACGAUGCGGUCCCGCANNCCCGGGGC
rnacentral:rRNA from 1 species